AUUGAACGCUGGCGGCAGGCCUAACACAUGCAAGUCGAGCGGAUGAGUGGAGCUUGCUCCAUGAUUCAGCGGCGGACGGGUGAGUAAUGCCUAGGAAUCUGCCUGGUAGUGGGGGACAACGUUUCGAAAGGAACGCUAAUACCGCAUACGUCCUACGGGAGAAAGCAGGGGACCUUCGGGCCUUGCGCUAUCAGAUGAGCCUAGGUCGGAUUAGCUAGUAGGUGAGGUAAUGGCUCACCUAGGCGACGAUCCGUAACUGGCCUGAGAGGAUGAUCAGUCACACUGGAACUGGGACACGGCCCAGACCCCUACGGGAGGCAGCAGUGGGGAAUAUUGGACAAUGGGCGAAAGCCUGAUCCAGCCAUGCCGCGUGUGUGAAGAAGGUCUUCGGAUUGUAAAGCACUUUAAGUUGGGAGGAAGGGCAGUAAGUUAAUACCUUGCUGUUUUGACGUUACCAACAGAAUAAGCACCGGCUAACUUCGUGCCAGCCGCCGCCGUAACAC
rnacentral:rRNA from 1 species